UAAUGUAGGGUUUAUUUUUCGUAAAAGCUAAAAUGGAAAUGGGAUUAGUGUUAAUUUUACAAAUCAAUAAAACAUAUAUAUACAGGGCUAUAUGUAUAUAAAAUAUGAUUGCUGUGUGGGUUUGUCCACCUGAUGUGGUUCUACACAGCGACUGGACUGAUUCGACUCGGAUUAGACCUGACAAGGUGUCCACAUGAAUUUUUCAUUCGUUUUUUUAGGCUCAGACUCAAAUCCACACAGCUGGACCUUAUAACGAUCGUCAACGAGACAACUCUAGGGGGUACCACACACUCCAACUUUUUAUUCAACACCUACUGUAGAUUAUUAUAUAAGAAUUUGUUAAAUAAAAACGAUGUUAAAUAAAUAAUGUGUCAGCAUUUGCCCCCAUCUCGCUCUAACCCUCGCUCUUACAUAAACAAUCACUAACUUUAUCUCCAAACUGCUUUCAGCUUUCACUUCCAGCCAGCUUGCUACUAUCUAGGAGGAGGGACAUAAUAGACUGUUAAAAGGGCAAAAAAUUGUAGCAUUUGUGAGCAAAUUAGAGCUGGAAUUCUUCUUAAUUUAUCAUGAAUUCAUAUACUUGUUUAAUUUGUGUUGUGUUGUUUACACGUGUUUGUGACGAAGUUAAUUGCAUGCAAAUUAAAAAUUCAAUAUAUAAGAAUUUGCAUUUGAAACCCACUACCUAGUGGAUGGAUGUGACUGAAGAUCUAAAAUGUUAUUAAUAAACUUCUCAUAUGUUCCCUAUUUAUUUCUGUUUUUAUUUUAUUUGUCUAGUAAUCUAUUAAUUUAUUUAUUAAUUAUUAAACAAUUUGUUUUAAUUCGUAUUUAUUUUACACACCGAUCUAGAAAUUCGUUCACAUAUUAAUUAAAAUUACGUCAUUUCCCCUUUCUGGUUUCCGCACGUGCAGCAAGAGCUUUUAAAUUAUACCGGAAAUGAGCGCUCUCGUUUGUCGAACAAACAUUUUGUCGUCGUCGUCGAGUGUGUGUGUGGACGUCACGAGGGGAAAGAUAACUUGAUACAAACAAGCCUUUAACGUUUAAAUUACAUAAUGAAGCGGUUUUGUGUGAUAUUCAGCCAUUUUGUGGGCACUAGUGCGUUAGUUUUUUUUUUUUCUCGAUAAACUUUCUUUGGCGGCAAGUUAACCUGUGAGUGUGCGGUGCAGCGUUUUCAUCUCUGUGGACACUCAAUGAACGGCGGGUGGCUUGUCCAGAAAAGACAAAUGUGGUCGAAAGUACGUCGUCAGUUAUCAUGAUGGAGACGUGUGUGGCUGUCCGGCCACGCUUAUGCUCUGUACCGACAUCUGGCCAACGGCGGAAGUUGUGGGUGUGACAACACUCCUGUUUACACUGACCCAGAGACCGGUGGCAUCUGCAUUUCGUCCAGGCCUUCACAACCAGACACAGAGGUUGACCCAGGU